CUGGGAGGAGGAGGAGGAAGAGGUGGAGGAAAGGACCACCCGGCACAUCCUCGUGGUGGCUGCCUCCACUCCUCCAGCCCUUGGCCCAGGGCUGAUGUCAUCCGCAGCAAAUCAUUUCGCCGGCGGCCCGGAAGCUGGAGGGACGAGGUUCCUAAGUUUCUGGCCGUGGUCUGUUAACUUCCAUUUCUUUGGGCCUGAGAGGCUGGUAUAUGACAAACGGACGUUGUUGGCACCAGACGCUGGAGAGCUGGAAUCCCCUGAUGGCCUGUAAAUUCAUAGAGUGGGAGAGGGAGCCCCGGAGCAUCAGCAUUCAAAUCGCUCCGGCUGAGGACCUGCCCAGAAACUUCUCUGCCUGCUUCUCUCCAACCGGACUCCUGGGACUAGAGGCCCACUUGCUGCGCUGAGAUCUUUUCUCUACCCCGCUAAAGCGCAUGCUCUAAGAGCCUCUCUUCUAACAGUAUGGCGAUGGAACUCGGUCCUGAGAGCUAUCAAAAAUAGAUGUCAUUAUGACAAUGAUAUGAAUAAUGCAGUUCCAAAAAUGGGGAGAACGGAUUUGAGGAUUAUAAUUAAAUAUAGCUCGAACGUUCUUUAAGGUUAAUCGCUAGCACUCCGCGUUAGAGCCAUUUAAUCGUUUUCUAGUGCAUGGUGCAUAAGGCGAAGGAAACUGUUCCCAGGGAAAUUCAGUGGCAGCACAGAGCAAAAAUAACGCGUUUUCUGUUUUAAUGUGUUUGCUCACUGCUUUGAAAACAGUGUCAGCACAACCCCGUUCAAGCACACACAGGUACACUUUUAAGCUGUAAUGAAAAGCUACUAAAGUUUAAACUUUUUUUUUUAAUUCUGUAAAAGUGAUAGGAUUCUUUUUAGCAGCCACCCAGUAGCUUGUGUGGGUGCGAGAUUCUGGAGACCCAGUUCUCAGAUGACAGUAGUGUGGUUCGAAAAGAACUCUUCUGGAACCCAAGUGUAUUAACUUUUCUGUUGCCGUGGUAACAAACAUACGGAUGAAGACAAUUAAGAAGGAAAGUUUGUUUGGCCCGACCGUUCCAGUUUAGGGUCCAUACCGGCAGGGACAUAGUGGUGAAAGCUGGGAACUGAGAGCCGAGAAAUCAUGUCUCAAAAUGGUUGAGUCUUUGAACUCUCAAACCUAGUGUAUUGGUGAGAGUUCUCGAAAGGUACUGUAAGGGACCUGAGCCAGCUUAGCACACCCGAAAACCAAGUGCUUGGCACAAAGGAGAUUUAUUGAGAUAGAGACAGGAGAUAGAGGAUGAGGGAGAAGGGGAAGGAAGGAAGGAGGGAGAGGGGUAAGGAGUGUUUGUCCCAGAGGACAAAGGACUGCCUCUGGAUAGAGGAGACAGAUGUAACCCAUAGGAAAAUAGCGGUUUAUAAAAGUAAAGGGGGAAACCCCAUGUUAGGAUGAGGUGUUUAAUUUAAUUGGACAUGUUAGUUAGGUGAGCCACAGGGCUUUUGAUUGUUGGACUUCCAUACUUUAAUAACUGGACCUUGGUAGUCAGCCUCAGGAGGAAGAAUUGGCCAAAGAAAGCAAUGGGUCUUGGAGCUAGCUUUAGGAAAUGUAAUGUGGUUUUAGCAAGGCCGAGGAAAUCCGGGAAAGGGCAAAGCCUGCCAGAGCCGUGUUUAACCAUGCUCGGGCUGUCUCAUGAAGAGAAAGGACAGAACUCAUUAGAGUAGCUGAUAAGCUGCGGUCUGAGUAGUUCCGCAAUGGCGGACUUCCGACAGAAAGAUGAGGGAUCCAGGAGCUGUUCAGUCUACCAGACUGGAUGUCUCCAAUUGUCCCAAUCAAGUGUGGGAGUCCCAGGAAAGUCCUAGAGAGCUGCCAGUUUGCACUCCGGGUUGGAAUCCUUGAGAAAUAGGUUCUAACACUAGCAAAGGAAGACCUCAGGAACAGGGUAGAUGAAUUUGCCAAUGAGAGUGAAGGCAAGCAGGCAAAGAGCAAACUUCCUUCUUUCAUGGUUUUUUUAAGUAGCUGUCACCAGAAGGCGUGGGUCUUCCCACCUCAGAUGAGCUAAUCAAGAAAAAUGGCUCACAUGUGUGCCCAGAUGCUUAGAGUGGUAGUUUGAAUGUAAUUGGCCCCCAUAAGCUCAUAGGGAGUGUCAUUAUUAGGAGGUGUGACUUUGUUGGAGUUGGUUUGGCCUUGAAGGAAGUGUGUCACUGUGGAGGUGGGCUUUGAGGUCCUUUUUGCUCCAGCUUCACUCAGUGUGACACACAGAUCACUUUCUGUAGUCCGCAAAUCAAGAUGUAGGACAAUCAGCUCCAGGUCUGCCUGCACGCCACCAUGUUCCACCACGAUGACAAUGGACUAAACCUCUGUACAUGAAAGUCACACCAAUUAAAUGUUUAUAAGGGUUCCUGUGGUCAUGGUAUCUCUUCACAGCAAUAGGAACUCAACUGAGAUACUGAAUGAAUGAUUGGAAGCAUCACCCCAACCCCUAGCCUGGGAGUUGCAUUGUCUGGACUUCAACUCCCAACCUGCCUAGUGCUGACUCCUCCCUGGGGAGGGUCAGGACCACUCCCACAGGCUAUUUAGGCUUGCACCCAAAUAAGGAACACGUGCUCUCCAGGGUUUGUGUGGGUCCAUCUCCCCUGCCGUGCUGCCUCAGUCCACCCAAGAGUGCUGCAUUUAUUAAACACAGACAUUUUAAUUUGCUCUAAUCCACUUUAAUUGGAGUUAUUUGCAUCGGUGGAGUGGGUAUUCUUAAGAUUAAACCAAACACUGAAUUUAGUUAAUUCUAGAUGUAGUCAAAUUGACAACCAAAAUCAGCCAUCAUACGCUCCUCCAGUGGAAUAUUUCCUUUAAUGAGGCCACGCCCCCUACAUCUACUAAACCCACCACCAACUGGGAGCGAGCAUUCACAUGCCCCAGACAAUGUGGGGGGGGGGCAUUUCUCACUCUAACUGAGGUAUUUAUCAAACUACUGUGUAUAGAGAACCUAGCUCAAGUAUUUAAGAAAAAUCUCAACUGAUCUCAGUGGUCAGGACCAGAUUUCAAUAACCAAACCACACGAAGUUAGGGUUCAAGCAUCAGAAGAUAGCCUGACAAAGAGCAAUUACUCAUUUGCAGAAUGGAAUACUAUAUGGUUGCAAAAUGAGAUGGCUUUUCAGGUAUCUACCUCCAGAUGAUUCCAAAAGGGCUGGACAUGAUGUACUGUUACUUAUGGAGAAAGGGGCAAAAAGAUGUGCACUUGUUUGAAGAUAGAUUUCAUCUCUUGGAGGAUACACAAGGACAGCAGCUAUGACAGGGAAGGAUGGGAAAGUUCACUGUGUGUCUUUGAAGAGAUAUGUACCUCCCCACCUCCCACCCCAGCCCUGGUAUUUACUGGGGGCCGCAUACAUGAUAGGCAAGAGUUCUACUCCUAAACCACAUUCCCAGCCCUCUUCUUAGUUUCAGUGUAGGGUCUCACUAGGGUACUCGUGCUGGUCUCGAACUCACUCAUAAGAUCAAGCAGGCUUUGAAUUUGUGAUCUUCCUGUAUUCCCCCAGGCCAGGCUCUUUGUGGAAUUUU